GCCGGCUCAAAUUCCUGGGUUUAUAUCCCAAUCACUGUCCCUCCCCCUGCGCUUUCAGAGAAUCUUACUACAGAAUUGUUGUUGUGAGUGAGGUGGCCUAACAGCAUACCACUAAAAAGUUCCAGACCUGGUUUUUACCCCCAAAAGGUCAUGCUGUUGCAAGUGGUGGACUCCCAUGGCCUUGGGCAGCUUUGCUUCUGUGGCUCUGCAGGGUACAG